rnacentral:rRNA from 1 species
GAUGAACGCUGGCGGCGUGCCUAAUACAUGCAAGUCGAGCGAACAGAUGAGGAGCUUGCUCCUCUGACGUUAGCGGCGGACGGGUGAGUAACACGUGGAUAACCUACCUAUAAGACUGGGAUAACUUCGGGAAACCGGAGCUAAUACCGGAUAAUAUAUUGAACCGCAUGGUUCAAUAGUGAAAGACGGUUUUGCUGUCACUUAUAGAUGGAUCCGCGCCGCAUUAGCUAGUUGGUAAGGUAACGGCUUACCAAGGCAACGAUGCGUAGCCGACCUGAGAGGGUGGUCGGCCCAACUGGGACUGAGAAACGGUCCAGACCCCUACGGGGGGCAGCAGGAGGGGAACUUCCGCAAUGGGCGAAAGCCUGACGGCGCAACGCCGCGUGAGGGAUGAAGGGCCUCGGAUCGUAAAACUCUGUUAUUAGGGAAGAAAAAAUGUGUAAGUAAUUAUGCACGUCUUGACGGUACCUAAUAAGAAAGCCACGGCUAACUACGUGC